rnacentral:rRNA from 1 species
CUGUGUGUGUUGAGCGCGAUGGCCCCACCCCGUUCCAUCCCGAACCGGGUCGUGAAACGUCGCCGCGCCGAUGCUACUGGGGUGCGCCCUGGGAGAGUAGGUCCACGCACAGU